UCGCACCGGUUCAAACCAAACCGGUGCGAACUUAGUGUUUUAGCACCGGUGCGAAAUUUUAAAAAAAAUCGGCCUACUUCUCUUCUUCUUUCCCUAUUUUACUCUCUUUCCCGUUCUUUUUUCAUUUCCAUUCUCUCUCUUCUCUCUCCUCAUAUGCUCUCCUCUCUCUCCUCAACCAAACCUUCAGCCGCAGCUGCAACCACAACUGCCGCCGUUCACAGAUUCUUUCUCCCCUUUUCUUUUCGUGCUCUCUCCUCUAGCCUCCUUUUACCCUACCAAUCGUUUUCUAGGGUUUAUCGCCCUUGUUAUACCUCUAAAUCUCAAUCUCAUAUCCAAUCACCUCUCUCUAAUUUCUAGGGUUUCGAAUUACACUGAUGCUGCAAUAAUUGGAGGCUGGAGUUGGUGGUGAUUAAAUUGAUGUUGUUGAACACAAAGAGGCAAACUAAUAUCAGCAGGCUACACUUCUUCUUUCUCGAGAUUGAAGGACUAGCUAAAUUUUUGGCAAAUCCAGAUUCUGAAACCUAAGGAUCCCCUAAAAGAUCAGCGAUUAACUCAUCUGGUGAGUCAAAAUUAUGAGCAACUUACCCCUUGGAUCUCUUGAUAGCAGUUACAGUAGUAUGUCACAUGCUAAGCUUGAGCAUAGUUUUGGCUCUAUUAAGAAGUUGAUUUAUGUUGAAUUUCAAAAAUUUCAGUUCUACUCUAGCAUUAAUGACAUUAGAAAACGGUUCUUCUCUAAUCUCAGGGAACUUCCUUGGGAAUCACAGUGUACAGCUAUUCAAGAUGUUUAUACUUAUUUAAUUGACUAUAAUCCUUCUUAUGCUUUUGUCUCUUCCGAGAAUUUUCUGGAUCCAUUGGUUUUGUUCUUGGAAGAUGCUCUUGUCAAGUGUGAUAAUGAAGCUCAAAAGGCUGGAAUUAAAGUGCUUUCAACAUAUCUCCAAGCGAAGAGGUGAUUUUCCUCAUAUUGAUCUACACGUGUAUCCUCCAUUUUCUUCAAGAAGAGGUUUAUUUCAGGUUGGAAAUGUUGUAAAUAAUGUUAUCAGUAGAGCCACAAGUAAUUGCCCCUGGAUUGGGGAACUCUGGGUGAGGCAGUUGCUUUGCUUGGAACGAGCUCACGCUUCAGAGGAUGAAAUUUCCCUGGUAUGGAUGUAAGAUAUGGUGUAAUUCUCAUUUGAACGGUUUUGGUUGAGAAAUUUGCUAGCUUGUUUGUUGUCAAAUGCUUGUAAAGUGUAAAUAAUUAAUUCAGUGAUGUUGGAUCUGAAGAGUUAUGUCAAUACUAACACACUUCUUCUUGCUACAGCUUCCUACAAAUCCGAAAAAAAAAAAAAAAAAAAAAGCUUAGUGGUUGUUGACUGCAGCAUAGUGGGUUUAUAGUAAUGUUCAUUUAUCAAGAUAUGUUUCAUCUUUCAGUAGAUUUGACUAAAUUGGCCUGCCUACCCAUAUUUAUUUUAGAUUUAUAGCCUACAUUCUAUUAUUUAGAAUGCUUAAAAAGCUUCAUGAUGAUCUGUACCUGGGAUGAUUAUUCUUAGACUUUCUUCUCCAUGGAAAACUGAAUUAUCCUAGUCACAAUUUUUCCCACUUUCUUGGUUGCUAGCCUUAUCUGUGUCAACUUAUUGAAGAAUAAUGAAGGUAUUAUCUUGACUUUAAUAUAUGAAAUAUAUAAGUUUAAUCGUAGAGCAAUUGGAAAUGUGGAAAUUAUGCUCAUCAAAAGUCAUCUGCUGGUUCACAGUGCUGACAUGGGUCGAGGUGUAAUUGGUGUCAUAAAAGUUACUAAAAGACCUUGUAUUUUAUUUUAUUUUAUUUUAUUUGUGUGUAACCUUGUAUUUUAUUUUUUUGACGAAAAUUGUAAUA